UGGGGAAUAUUGCACAAUGGGCGCAAGCCUGAUGCAGCCAUGCCGCGUGUAUGAAGAAGGCCUGCGGGUUGUAAAGUACUUUCAGUCGGGAGGAAGGUGUCAAGGCUAAUAACCUUGGCAAUUGACGUUACCGACAGAAGAAGCACCGGCUAACUCCGUGGCAGCAGCCGCGGUAAUACGGAGGGUGCAAGCGUUAAUCGGAAUUACUGGGCGUAAAGCGCACGCAGGCGGUUGAUUGUGUCAGAUGUGAAAUCCCCGGGCUCAACCUGGGGACUGCAUUCGAAACUGGCAGGCUGGGGUCUUGUAGAGGGGGGUAGAAUUACAGGUGGAGCGGUGAGCUGCGUAGAGAUCUUGAGGAAUACCGGUAGCGAGGGCGGCCCCCUGGACAACGACUGACGCUCAGGUGCGAAAGCAUGGGGAGCAAACAGG
rnacentral:rRNA from 1 species